UAUAGACAAUAGACAGAUGCUCUUGAGGGAAUUAAAAGCAAGUACGGAGGUAAGAAACCCUAUCACACAGCUAUGACGCACCAAAAGCCAAGUUGAAAGUGGGCAUUGCAAAAAGCUUAAAGAAACGAAUCCACUUUUAAUUGUCAUUAGUAAAGGUGUGAGCAAGAAUAAGAUGACUUAACUAUCAACUUCAGCCAGG